rnacentral:tRNA from 1 species
CCUGGUGGCUCAGAGGUUAAAGCGUCUGCCUGGAAUGCAGGAGACCCGGGUUCGAUCCCUGCAUCAGAA